UAUCCGGUUUUAUGGGCGUAAAGGGUCGUGUAGGCUGUUUAUAAGGUAUCUUUGAAAGCUCGCCGCUUAACGGUGAGUUGGGGAUACGACUGUAAUGACUAGAAUUUCUUCAAGGGUAAUCGGAACUCAGAGAGGAGUAGUGAAAUGCGUUGAUACUCUGGGGAACACCAAUGGCGAAGGCAGAUUACUGGGAGGAAAUUGACGCUGAGACACGAAAGCUAGGGGAGCGAAGCAGAUUAGAGACCUGCGUAGUCCUAGCCCUAAACGAAUGUCUGCUACCUGCAUUUUCAUUGUGCCGUAAGGUACGAUAAGGUGUGGGAAAGGUAACCCGUUAAGCAGAUCGCCUGGGGAGUACUGCCGCAAGGUUAAAACUCAAAGGAAUUGGCGGGGAGGCACACAACCAGUGGAACAUGUGGUUUAAUUUGAUACAAACCAAAGAACCUCACCAAGUCUUGACAUGCUAGCGUCCAGUUCUGUAGAAAUAUGGAAUGUUCGCAAGAAGGCUAGCACAGGUGCUGCAUGGCUGUCGUCAGCUCGCUCCGUGAGGAGUGCCCUUAAGUGGGACAACGAGCGCAACCCCCAUCUUGUGUUAAAAAUGUCACAAGAAACUGCUCCGCCUUUGGUGGAGAGGAAGGAGGGGCAGACGUCAAGUCAGCAUGGUCCUUAUGACUUGGGCUACACACAUGUUACAAUGGAGGGGACAAAGAGUAUAGCGACACCGCAAGGUGAAGCAAAUCUCUUAAACCCAUCCUCAGUGGGGAUUGGGGUCUGAAACUCGACCCCAUGAACACGGAAUUGGUAGUAAUCGCAGGUCAGCCAUACUGCGGUGAAUACGUUCUUGCCUCUUGCACACACCGCCCGU
rnacentral:rRNA from 1 species